rnacentral:sRNA from 1 species
UUUUUGGCAGAAAAUUACGGGUUUACGUUUUAACGGAAAAAUUGCAAGUUUCAUUUUUGGCAAGAAAAUUACUGGUUACUUUUAUGGCAGAAAAAUUAAGAGUUUCUGUUUAUGGCAGGAAAAUUAUGAUAAUGUUAUGUCAUGACUAUGAUAUGUUGAUAUGAUGAUAAUAAAGAUAGUAUGAUGAUGAUGGGGAUGGUAGUAUGAUGUUAUGAGAGGGUAAUGAUGAUGAUGAUGAUAUUGUGUUGAUAAUGAAUAAAUUGAUGGGUUGAUGAAGUCAUUUGGAAAAAAAUUGAUUAUAUUCCAGGGAGAUUUGCAAAACUACCCUUUUUUUACUACCUUUUUGCAACAAUACCCUUUUAUAUUAUUCAUUUUUAAAAAUAUCCCUUUCCUUGAACAGAAUAACCAAAUUACCCUCAUUUAAUAAGAACAUGUACUUGGAAACUUUCAGUUUCCCGCCAAAUUUUUGGCGCCAAAAUUUAUUUUUCCCGCCAAAAAAAAAUUUUCCGCCAAACUUUUUUUCCCGCCAAAAUUUUUUCUCGUAAAUUUUUUUUCCCAGCCAAAAAAAUGCUUUUAAAAAUCCUUGCAAAUUUUUUAAGAACUCUUUUAAAAAUCCUUGCAAAUUUUUUAAGAACUCUUUUAAAAAACCUUGUAAAGUUUUCUAAAAGCUUUGGUAGUUGCUAAAAACCAUUGUAAAUCAUUUUAAAACCUCUUAAAAUCUUUAUAAAGUCUUUACAAACAUAGGUAAAUACUUUAAAACACCUUUCUAAACCUUUGUAAAUCAUUUUAAAGCUUUUUACAAUAGUUUUACAAGAUUUACAAUCGUUUUUUAAGCAUAAGUAAGUGGCAUUGAAUGAUUUACAAGGGAUUUUAACAGCUUAUAAAAGAGUAAAACAUCAUUUACAAUCGUUUUUAAAGCAUAAGUAAGUGGCAUAAAAUGAUUUAAAAGGGAUUUUAAAACUAUUUGUAUGGUUUACAAUCGUUUUAAAGCAUAAGUAAGUGACAUUGAAUGAUUUACAAGGGAUUUUAAAAGGGGUUAAAAUGAUUUACAAUCGUUUUUAAAGCAUAAGUAAGUGUCAAAAAAUGAUUUACAAGGGAUUUUAAACCUUUGUAAAUCCUUUUAAAACUCUUAUAAAGUCUUUACAAGCAUUUUUUAACUCUUAGAAAAAGAAUUGUAAGUAUUUAAAACAUUUAUAACUCUUUUUGAACCAUUUUAAAUCUCUUGUGAACCUUUACAAAACGUUUUAAAAAGAUUUACAAGAGUUUAUAAAAGUUUUUCUUAUAAAUUCUUUUAAAAUCUUUUAAAAACUCUUGUACAUCUUUUAAAACCCUUUAAAAAUCCCUUGUAAAUCUUUUAAAACACUUUUAAACCCUUUAAAAACCUUUAAAAAACUCUUAUAAGUCUUUUAAAGCCCUUUAAAAUCCCUUGUAAAUCUUUUAAAACCCUUUUAAAAUCCCUUGUAAAUCUUUUAAACUUUUUAAAAAUCUCUUGUAAAUCUUUUAAAAUCCCUUGUAAAUCUAUUUCCCGCAAAAAAAA